UUCCAGUGUAUAGGGUAUGUCAUUAUC
rnacentral:piRNA from 1 species